CCUACGGGAGGCAGCAGUGGGGAAUAUUGCACAAUGGGGGAAACCCUGAUGCAGCGACGCCGCGUGAGUGAAGAAGUAUUUCGGUACGUAAAGCUCUAUCAGCAGGGAAGAAGCAAGACGGUACUUGACUAAGAAGCCCCGGCUAACGACGUGCCAGCAGCCGCGGUAAUACGUAGGGGGCAAGCGUUAUCCGGAUUUACUGGGUGUAAAGGGAGAGUAGACGGUAUGGCAAGUCUGAAGUGAAAGCCCAGGGCUUAACCCUGGGACUGCUUUGGAAACUGUUAGGCUAGAGUGCUGGAGAGGUAAGUGGAAUUCCUAGUGUAGCGGUGAAAUGCGUAGAUAUUAGGAGGAACACCAGUGGCGAAGGCGGCUUACUGGACAGUAACUGACGUUGAGGCUCGAAGGCGUGGGGAGCAAACAGGAUUAGAUACCCGAGUAGUC
rnacentral:rRNA from 1 species